rnacentral:precursor_RNA from 12 species
UUCCAAAAGAUGUACUGCUUGCCUUGGAGCUGGCUAAGGAUUUAGGGAAGGAGCUAAAUUAGGACUCUUCUCUUCAUCCAAAGCCUAGUUCCAACAUGGCUCUCCAUCUUGUCUGGCAC